rnacentral:rRNA from 1 species
AUUGAACGCUGGCGGCAGGCCUAACACAUGCAAGUCGAACGGUAACAGGAAGAAGCUUGCUUCUUUGCUGACGAGUGGCGGACGGGUGAGUAAUGUCUGGGAAACUGCCUGAUGGAGGGGGAUAACUACUGGAAACGGUAGCUAAUACCGCAUAACGUCGCAAGACCAAAGAGGGGGACCUUCGGGCCUCUUGCCAUCGGAUGUGCCCAGAUGGGAUUAGCUAGUAGGUGGGGUAACGGCUCACCUAGGCGACGAUCCGUAGCUGGUCUGAGAGGAUGACCGGCCACACUGGAACUGGGACACGGUCCAGACUCCUACGGGAGGCAGCAGUGGGGAAUAUUGCACAAUGGGCGCAAGCCUGAUGCAGCCAUGCCGCGUGUAUGAAGAAGGCCUUCGGGUUGUAAAGUACUUUCAGCGGGGAGGAAGGGAGUAAAGUUAAUACCUUUGCUCAUUGACGUUACCCGCAGAAGAAGCACCGGCUAACUCCGUG